UUAAUCUUAAAAACCUAAUAAUCAUUAAAUUAAAUUUUUCUUCAUACGAAACGGAUGGAAUCCAAGGCACUGACUAAGAAGCAUUAUCUCCCUAAUUAUUUGUUUGGUCCUUCACCUAAUGAACAAGUCAAAAAAAUAUAUCCAAAAUUACACAAUACCUUAAAUCCUGCAAAUAGAAAUGACAAAGACCUUACAGAUUGUUCACAAAUAAAUUUUUCCAAUCCUAAAUCAAAUAAAACUAUUAAAUUUGCUCCAGAAACAUUUGAACGCAAAACCUCAUAUCUUAAAACUCCUCCAUCUUCCUAUUUUUUAAAGAACAAACCUCCCAUUAGAGAGUUGAAGGAUGAUAUAUACAGUGAAUCUGUAAGCAACCUGGAUUUUACACCAAUUCUUAAUAACUCUGAUUUUGAUGAUAUUCAAGAAAAUUUAUCAAAUCAAAAUCCAAAUAUAGCUGACAUACUAAUUCAGGAUCAAAUUGUUUAUAAUCCAGAAGAUUAUCAAAACUCUAAUACAUUCAAAAAAUCGGAUUAUUCUCAAUUUAAAGGUAAUUCAAUAUUUAAUAGUCAAAACUCAAAUCUCAAUCAAACUUUUGAAAACAAGAAUAUAUUCCCUACAUGUUUUGAUUCAUUGACUGAAUAUUGGGUCAGAGUGUUUGGAUAUCCUAAUACUUACACAAAUAAUAUAAUAUCUUCAUUUUCAGAAUAUGGUGACAUAUUGGAUUACAAAUUUGCAACUGAAUGUGGUAAUUGGAUUGAUCUGAAAUACCAAACAAAAUUACAAGCAACACAAGCCCUUCGGCAAAAUAGUAGAAUUUUAGUGAUAGAUGGCAAUCAAAUUAUGAUUGGAGUUACUCCAGCACCAAACGAAUGCGUGAAUAAUGUCAAUGGUAAUUGGGCUAAUCCAAGUACUCAACCAUCAUCCAGGCGGAAUAUUAGGGAUUUGAUCAAUAGAUCCACAAGAAAUAAAACUAAAUUAGCACUGCGCCAAUCAAUUGAUAAAAGAAAACAUGAAAACAUAGUUUGCAUUGGCAUUUCACCCAUUUUACAUGUGUAACACCUUUACAUAUUGGAUUUUUGCAUCUUUAUCGAAAUGUCAUCCACUCUAGGAAAUGUCCAAUUUGAUUCAGGCGAAUAUCUGUUGACGGCACGAAAGGUGUAGGUCACCAUCUUUUUUAUCUAAGCAUAAAAGAAUAGACGUCCGCGUUUCAAUUCUAUUGUAGCUUCAAUUUGACACCUUGCUGUGCCGAUAGCAUCACCCGGGUUUUCACAUCGUAUACAGUGAACAUAAACCGGAAGUUAAGGACUCAAAUUGGUACCAAUUUUUGUUUCUUUCGAUAGACCUUUAGAGAUUUUUUAAUCUACAAAAUGAAGAUGAAGCUGGCCGCGUCCUCGACUGAUUUUUUUAUAAAUAUAAAAGAGGAGUGAAAUUUUUAUUCCAGAACAUGAUGAAGAGGACCAUCUAACGUUUCUACAUUAUUUUGUUAAUUUAAUUCCUGGUGUUAAUAUAGUCGCCAAAAUACUCAAAUAUUUUUUAAAUACAUUUCCUUGAUUAAAUUUUAUCUUGUUG